GGGGGCGGAGGGGCUCCGGUGGGUCCCGCGGACUUCAAAUCCGUUGCCCUGGUGCCAGCGCACCGGGGGGUGGGUUCGACUCCCAUCCGCUCCCGCCA
rnacentral:tRNA from 1 species